CAGUCGAACGAAGCACUUUAUUUGAUUUCUUCGGAAUGAAGAUUUUGUGACUGCGUGGCGGACGGGUGAGUAACGCGUGGGCAACCUGCCUCAUACAGGGGGAUAACAGUUGGAAACGACUGCUAAUACCGCAUAAGCGCACAGGGUCGCAUGACCUGGUGUGAAAAACUCCGGUGGUAUGAGAUGGACCCGCGUCCGAUUAGCCAGUUGGUGGGGUAACGGCCUACCAAAGCGACGAUCAGUAGCCGACCUGAGAGGGUGACCGGCCACAUUGGGACUGAGACACGGCCCAAACUCCUACGGGAGGCAGCAGUGGGGAAUAUUGCACAAUGGGGGAAACCCUGAUGCAGCGACGCCGCGUGAGCGAAGAAGUAUUUCGGUAUGUAAAGCUCUAUCAGCAGGGAAGAAGAAAUGACGGUACCUGACUAAGAAGCACCGGCUAAAUACGUGCCAGCAGCCGCGGUAAUACGUAUGGUGCAAGCGUUAUCCGGAUUUACUGGGUGUAAAGGGAGCGCAGGCGGUACGGCAAGUCUGAUGUGAAAGCCCGGGGCUCAACCCCGGUACUGCAUUGGAAACUGUCGGACUAGAGUGUCGGAGGGGUAAGUGGAAUUCCUAGUGUAGCGGUGAAAUGCGUAGAUAUUAGGAGGAACACCAGUGGCGAAGGCGGCUUACUGGACGAUUACUGACGCUGAGGCUCGAAAGCGUGGGGAGCAAACAGGAUUAG
rnacentral:rRNA from 1 species